ACUCCAGCGACGACCUGAGCGCGUACGCCAGCAUCAGCUUCCAGAAGCGGGAGGAGCCCUAGGAGCCGGCCGGGAAGGUGAGCUCCGGGGGCGCGGCCUCGCGGGGAGCUCCGCGGUGCCCUCACGAGGGGGUGGGGCGCGGCGUUGGGCUCCCCGGGGCCGGGGGGCGCCGUGACCCCGCGGUGGCUCGGGUCCGUUCCCGGAGUGCGGUGCUCGGGGACGGCCCGGCUGCCGUAGCCCCGUCCCGGAGGGUGCGACUGCCGAUAUCGGGUCUGGACUGCGCGGAUGCGGUGUUGCGAAUGAUGACCUAUACAACCUCAGCAAAUCCUUCUUUUAACUCAUGGGUAUCAAGACUCUAAAUGUUUCAUGUUACCACAACUAGGACCUCACCUCCUCCUCCUCCUCUUCCUCUGUAAAUGGGUACGAUGCAUCCAGUUCAGUUUGUUUACUUUACACAAACCUCAGGAGUUAGUUGACUGAGCUGCACAUCCUGUGUUGUGCCAAGCAGAAGCACUGUGACACCUGGACUAUGAGUCUCUCACUUAAUCCUCUACCGUAAGGACUUAGCUGGCCACAAUGAACUGAUGUGCCCACCACUGUGUCAUGGUGAGAAUGGGUAUUUUACUAGCACAUUUACACAACUUCAUUUGCUGCUGAAAACCUGUAUGACAAAUCAUCCUUGUAAAUUAUUACAUACAAAACUUAAUGUUGGUUGAAGAGUAUUAAAUAUUUAACAUAGGUUUUGAUUUAUACAUGUACUUUUUUUAAUUAAAAUGUAACUUUUCCUACAGCACAUCUUUUUUGAUGUGGAACUGAGGUAUACUAUAUUCUGUUGUAAACAGAGUGGGAAACCUGCUUAAAACAAGGCUUCUAAGAAUAGAGUAGGGUACUAUUCUUGUUUUAAGAUUGUAAUUCAGAAAAUAAUAUAAUACAAGUCAUUGGUCCCCGGGCCUUGAUUGUACAGUCAUAUUUGCUGAUACUAUCAGUUGUAAGAUAACCCUGAUGCUGAGCUGAUUUCUUUCCAGAAGAAAAGUAAUUUUGUACUCCUUGUAAAAUAAUAAUCUGUAUUAACUACAAUGAAGACAAACUUUUCUGUACAUGGUAUUUACAAGUGUCAACUUGAAUUCAUCAAUUGCACAGAAACUGACAAAAAAUCAGAGAAAAAGAAAUCAAAGUCUUCCAUUGUAUAUAUUGUAAAGAAUAGAAAAAAAACAACAGAAAACCACAAAACAAAAUGAAAACAAAGGGUGAACUUUUCAAAUUAACUCUUUCCCUGGAAUGAAAAUGUGGGUGUUUGUAAAUUCUGGAAAUCUCUUUCUAUAUGUAAUAAACUAGAUACUGUUUUAUCUGCUGUAGUUUGUUUGUUUGUUUGCUUUUCUUGGUAAGCUGUCUCAGAUGUCUCAGAGUGCCCCGCUGUAGCUUUCUUUGAUGUUGCCUCUGUGCCGUGAAGAAUGGCUGUGGAUCACUGCUGUUUAAGAAAGCUGAGUGUAAUUAGGUGCAGUAGAGAGUGCGCUUUGGAAAGGACCAACGAAAAACAUAUUCUGCCUUCCUGUGGUAUGCUUGGAUAUUUCACUGAAGCUCUUGUUUCAUUGUUCUGGUGAAUCUUUGGGAUACGGUCCUCCUUCCACUUACGUCAGUGGGAGCGUUCUCAGCAAGUUGAAUCUCUGGAAGCAAGAUGGCAGCAUGAAAUUUAAAAACAGCGACCAAGAUGAUUGUCUGGAAGUCAGCGCAAGAGGAAGAAUGAAGAACAAUUCUACUGUGACUUAUUUCUGUGCUUUACGCUGGCUCUGUGUGUAUAAUAUUAUUCUAUGUGUAGCAUUUGCAAAGCCUUAGUUCUUUUUGGAUAUGGGGAAGUAAUGAAAUUGGAGAUCUCAAAGCAAAAUGUUGACGUGAUAAGAGAACAUGAGACUAUUUCAGGUCCCUGGUCAUCGCUUUUGCUUCUGCAAAGCAACUUUAUGGACCAGGGUGCAUUUGACAGAAUUCUUGUUAUCAAGAAAAGGCAGGUGCUCAGUGCACCAGCUCUCCAUGGAGGAUGGGAGGAUGGCUGUCAAACCCUCAAAAAAAAGGAUUUAUUUCCCUUGAGAUGUUUACAGUGUCUGGGGCUAGGCUGAAGUUGGUGCAGUGUCCUCUUCGGACUGCAGUAUUGAUGAGGGGGAUGUUACUCAAUUGUUUUUCACCUAGCCUUUUGCUUGGAGCCUUACCAUUCCCCUAAAUGUUACUGUUGCACCUGUAUAACCACUUUUUGACCCUACCAAGUCAAAAUACUCUGCUAAGAAAGUUUUUACACCUUGAAAUAUUUCAGUCAUUACAGAUCACUGGUGACAAUUACGUGUGUACUGAUGCUGGCAGACUUUAGGAUAUUGGUGUGUGGUGAGGCUGCAGCCUAAGAUGGACCUGUGACUGCCAAGGGUGCUGCCUUUGGAAAUCUCGUCCUUUGCUGACAAAACAGUCUCCACCAAAGGAGGCUGAUGCUGAUCAGUAAAAGAGGUGAGGCAUCACAUCUUUAUGUAGGAAGGGGCAAGUUAACCCACAAGAGCUUGCCAUUGCUCUCAAAGAGCUAUGUAUGUUUUUUCCUAAAGAAUGAUUAAUGUGUAAGAAGACAGCAUUUCAUCUGCGUAUGUUCAGAAGUAAAACAAAACAAACAAUGAAACCAAGUCACCCUUCUCAAACCCUUCACCUACACCUUUCUACUGCUUCACAGUUCAACAUAAAAACUCAUAGUGUUGAUUUGGUUGCUGAAUGUUGAUAUUGAUAUUUGAUUGCCCUUUGUUGAUAUUAAUGUGCCUUGGAUAAAACAGUAUUUUAUGGCCAUUGCGCUUUGCAUUGUUUCAGAUAAUUUGUAUGCUCUAGCCAUAACUAAAAUGUAUUUGUAGGUAGUGGAAGCUACUAUUAAAUGUUAAGAGGCAUUAGUUAGCAUCUGUAAUCCAGGAAGAACUGUUUUGAAUUGAUACAUCUAUGAGCACAUUUUGUUUAUAACAUUUGAUUUUUUAAAGAACUUUAGAAAUUGGCAAAGGUUGGAAAGACUGUGAUGGGGGGUGAGGGGAUGCUGCUGUUCUGGUGGGCUGAUCUGUCCGUUUAUGUCAUUAGCACAUACAGUCAAAGAUCAACCUAUUCAUGAUGUUAACAUUCACUGCAUUUACAUUAGCAGUUCUUUUCCAUAGUAAAAUUAAACCUGUUUAGCAAGUAUGUUUUGAGAAUACUUUUAAAACUAACUUAAUCUGUAUCCAAACAAUCCUCUUGAUGCUUUUUUUUUUUGCAUAUAGAUUCUUACAAAUUCCAGACUUUAUUAAAUAGAUCGCAACUUCUUAUAAAUUAAAGUGUAAUUUCCUGAACAAAUGGUGCUAUCCUCUUAUCCUUAUAUGUAUUCUGUUGUUGUGUCUGUAACAAAAAACUUUAUGAUUUCUUUAAGUUUGAAAACGAACAAUGAUUUCUGUCCCACAUCAGAUAGUAAGGCUCAGAUGCUCAGGAGUUUAUUUUGCUGUGACUUUUUUUCAAGUGGAAGUUGCUGAUUAUUUCAGUUUCUUUUUGCCUCCAUUACUGUGAUUUUCAAAAAGGUCUAUACUGAAUGCAUUUGUUAUUGCUAUUGGUUGAAAACGAAUGAGGUUGUAAAAACAGUUUGAAGCAGUUUCCAGAAGUACUAGCAGUGCUUAUACGCUUCCUUCCCCCCCUCCCCAAUGACUGCUGAUUUAAAGCUUAAUUUGUUGCUGAGUUGAUACGUGUUGUGGAGCUCUAAAUCUUUCUAGUCUUUGAUACUAACCUCUUUAAUUAGCAUUUCAACUGUCAUAUGUCUUCUGUAAUGUUUAUGAAAUUUUUUCAGCAGAAGUACGAAUUCAGAAAAGAAAAAGGAAACAGACCACAUUUAUAGGCAUGCUCCGGUGCUGUAGACUUACUUUCUGCAUAUUUAAGAACUAAGCAUCCGUGUCCAUCUUGCUACCAGGUGACUUUUAGCUGAAGCUAUUAUUCAUGUCCUCUAUUACAUUCAAGGGCUAUGUAAUGAGUAGUAUGUGCUUAAAUGGCUCCUAUCAACUCAAUGUGUGCCGUAUUUUAGUUACAUAACUCAGCUGUGCAAUAACAGAGAUUAAUGCUGCAAUAUGCACAGCAUUCACAUUUGCUUUUGAAAUGAUUAGCUGAAGCUGCUACUUGGUAGGAGCUUAAGUACAGCAUGUCGGCUAAUGAUUGAAUUAAUCUGGAUAGAUGCUUGAAUGCUUUAUUCUUCAACUUAGUUCACCUGUGCUAUCUUACUUAAAGAAGUGAAAAUGAACAAUAACCAACUCUCACUCUCUUGAAGUAAUUUGUCCAUCUCUUGUGUGACCUCCCACCCAUCUUUGGGUGCAGUAUAUGUUUUUGGUCUGCAAGCCUUGAGGCUGGUUCACUGGUGUAAGGUGACAGUAUUCUCACUUGUCCAGUUCAUCUUGUGUGUAUCUGUUCACUAGUAAUUUCAUUUGGGUAUGACUUUGAAUAUACCAUAAAUGAACUCGUUAUGAACCUACUGGAUGCCCAUAUGAAAUUCUCCAGGCUAUAGGAUGGAGAAUGGAAAAAAAAAAAUCAGGGGAAAAAAAAAAAAAUAGGUCUUUCAGUUUAUAGAAAAACACUUUCUUUUUUUUAUCUUCAUCCUCUGAGAUGCUACUAUUCACAUAAAGGAUGAAAUGAGGAAUCUAGCUGGGAUGAGAUGAGGAGGACCAUGAUCUGUCCUGUUCACUUCUUUCUAAAUAUAUGUUCUGAAUAAACAUUUAUAUAUGAGAAGAAAAGGUGGGGGCUAAUAAUAAUUAAAAAAAAGCAGCAUUGUUAGAACUUCUGUGUUUAAAUACUUUCAGAUUGCAAGUUUUGAAUUCUACAUCUGCGCUAGUAGCAAUGGGAUAAUCAAACAUUUGUGUAUGCCUGCAGCGGGUGGGCCCCUGGGAGAGAGGGAGAUAGGGCAUAGGUUGCCUUGUACCUCCUAAUUUGUGCCAGCAGGAUGGAGGAUGUUUUCUGCAAGCAGCUCUGUGACAUUCUGAUCUCUUGAUCUGAAUUGAUUGGUGGUUUGAAAAACAGUGCUUUGCAUAGCCAAAAUGCAUAGGGGGGAAAAGAAAAAAGGACAUGGAAAGUGCUUUGGAAAUUCCCAUAACAUUGCACAACCUGUGGGAAGGUUCUUAUUUGGUGGGUACCCCUCUGGCUGCUGGGACCUCUGAAUCUGCCAUUUCUGCUGCACUAGGAUUCUUGACAGUAAUAUUUGGAGACUGGGAGUAAAAUAAUAAAAUAAAAGCUAUGUGCCCUCUGUAGAUUAAACCAAUGGAAUACAUCAUGAUGUAAUCAAGUUAUCUGUCAGCAGAUAAAGAAUACUGAAUCAGAAUGGCAAGAAGAGUCACUGUGUCAUGGCUGAAUAAAGUUAGUGUGCUUUUUCUGCUGCUCUCAGGCACUAUGUUUAUUUGAUCCAAAUGGAGCACGUAAAUGAGUAUUUAGAGGAGAACUUGCCUCCUGAGUUUGCAGAGGGUAGAGUGGUGCAGGAAAAACAAUUACAACAGUACCGAUGCCACAGAAUUGAUAGAAGUACAGGAGAACAUCUGUGGCAUUUUUGGAGAGGAAAGGUUCCUCCUUCAAGGUCUGUUCCUGUUUGACAAUUAGAAUUUUCUGGCAUCGUAAAUAUAUUUUAUGUGGGAGUCACAACCUCAGCUGUUUUGCAUAGUUUAUUCUUAUUUUUUUAAUUUUAGAAGAAAUCUGACCCAGUUUGACUGCUUGCUUUUGUGGUUGAACCGUCCCAAUGUGGCAGCAGGCCUGAAGGCCGGACUGCUGCUCCCAGCUGAGCGGUGCAGGGGUUCUGGCGGGAAAGGCCUCAGCGCCAGCCCUGCUUGGCCAGGAAGCCAUGGCUCCCGUCUCUCUCGUUGCUUGUCUGCUUGUUGUGGUAUUUGUUGUUUUUAGUUUUUUUUAAGAUUAUCAGCUAGACUAAGUAAAAUGUCAGUUAUUCCAUGAAUCGUUUAUUGGCAACGAAACACUGAAAUUUCAGAGUAUUGUCCUCCUUGGUUUUACUUGGACAGUGGGACGCUGCCCCUUUAAAUUCCCUCAGAGCACGGCAGUGCUGCUUUUCCACAUCUCUGAGCAUUAAGCAAAAGAGGGUGUAGUAUUUAUAACUGUUUGUCAGUUUAUUGUUUUACCUUCAGCUGGUGAAUUAAGAACAGUGUUUCAGUUCUUUUAAACUAGCAUUUGGUUAUCUUUCCCUCAGCACAGCCCUGAGGUGCUGUGCACUGUAGCUGAGUGCGGUCACCUCCUCAGAGGAGGCGGCUUUACCACAGUCUGGCUUUCCUCAGCUGCAUGGCAGAGUAAUCUCACUCACAUGUCAGUUUGCCUUUAUCAGCCGUGUGCUUUGCAUUAAUUUCAGCUUCCCAGUGUGCCCAUGAGGGCUGUAGUGCAGUCUGUGCUCCCUGGCUUCCCUCAGUAACACAGUCCCACCUCACCCUUCCAGACUCAGUGCCACCUCAGCGUCCCACAGCAGAAGAAUUCCUGCAUCCUCUACACCUGUCUAGAAAAUCUACUGCUGCUCUUCGAGUGACGUGACCUAGAUUUUAAAACAAAAACUAAGCCCAGGAGGUUUUCAGCUGUAGGCUUACAUUUUCCCUGGAACUGAACUUUCCCAACAGUAUGUUGGCCUUGAUAAAGUUCUGGAACGGUCCUUUUGUGGAGUGCUGUUUCUUUAAAGAAACCAACUGGCUGAAAGCAGAAGACAGUAUCCAUUGCAGCAUUGCUUCUCUGUGUGAAGAAAUGCAGAAGAUGGGUGAGUCUCCUGAUGAUGUCAAGAAAGCAAAUGCGUUACUUGUGCUUGAGAAUGCAGGAAAAUCUGAGGGGAGAGAGGCCAUAGAGGAUUUACAGAAAGAUGGCAGCAGAGGGGCAGUCUGGCAGAAUGGUGUCUGACGUGGAAGCAUUUAUGAAGCAAAGGUGUGUCACUGAAUUCCUUCAUGCAGAAAAAAUGGCACCCACUGACAUUCGUCAACGCUUGCCGAAUGUUUACGGAGACCAAGCAGUGGAUGUGCACACAGUGAGGUGGAGUUUCUGCAGGGUCCAAGGACUCUUCCUGCAAGUGCCUGCAGAGGUGAUGGCCAGAGGUUGCCCCAGGAACAUUCCACGCGUGACAUUUGAAGUCACUUUCUGCCUGAGAUGAACACAGCUCAUGAGCCUCAGAUGCUUGGUACAACAGGACAAAGACCCACAUGCUCUCACACUUUGAUAUUUGAAAGCAUAACAGUAGAAGCAUGGAAGACAGAAGCCAGCAUUCCCAGCUGUUUUUGUGUGGUAUCGUCCAUACAUUACUGAAUAUGCUAAAAGGGGGCAAGAGACACAGGAGACCAGCUUAAGGGUGUUCAAACUACCAGACUUUGUGAUGAAGAGAAUGUGCAGCUGACUUCCUAUGCUAUUCCAGAAAAAUAAACAGCACUCAUAAAUAUCUACUCCACUUUCCAUAUCUGAAGGAUUUCUACUGGGUGAUCUUUCAGGAAAUAAGGAUAUGGAAUAUGAGAGAACCGUAAAUCCCCAGGCCUGGGUCCUCCCUGAAUUCCAUGUGAUGGAUGUGCAGCUGAAGACACGUAUCUGACGUUUGUUUUGACUUUUUGCUGUUUGGAUCUUCCAUAAUACAUUUGAGAGUUUUGCAAUGUGUGGACAACUUGAAAAUAGAAAAAAAAUCAUCAAAUGAUCCAGUCUUUGAUAAACUCUGGUAUUCAAGAGAGGAGCUUCUGCCAACAGAGAGAGAAUAUGCACUUUUUCUACGUGCUGAGCACAGCCCAGACUUCAUUAAAUUGUUUUCAUAGCAAGAUGAGAAAAAGGACCUUUCAGAUGGAUCUUAUAGAGCUCCUGCUGCCAGAUAGUUCUGAACUUUCAUGCGGCCUUGGUCCCGAAGUACUGUUGACUUCAGUAAAGUGUCGUCUUGGCAGAUAAUCUGCAGCCAACAGAGUUAGCUACUAAAUGGUCAUGGAAAUACGAUUUGAAUUGCUCUCCAUACUGCUGAGUGCACAGGUAAUUCUAUCCCAGCUAACUUGAGAUGAUUACUGUGGUAUACCGUUGGGCAGACUGGAGGAAUGCAAAGCAAAAAUUACAGCUGCUGGGAAUAGAUCUGCAGCUUUCAAGAUCACAUCAACCAUCUGAGUCCUUCAUCUUCUCAGAACCCGAGAAAUCUUGUCUAUGUGCUCCAGCACAGGCAAGCCUCUAUGCUCUGAGGAUAGAACAGAGGAGCGCUCAGUUUGAGGUGUUUUCCUUACCUUCACUGCAGAAACAGCCUGACUGACACCGGGAACAUGGCAAUCGAAAUAAGAAUAGGUACUAGACGUAACUGCUCUUUCCUGGUGACCUGUUCGGUGUCCUUUGUUUCUGCGGGUUCUUAUGAGCAGCCUUUUUUUUCAGCUGGCUGGCACAGGACCGUGGCCAUCAUAUCCAGUGACAUGUAGUACAGAGGUAUGUUGUCCUUCCUGUAAUGAGCUCAGAAAAUGAGAAACAGUGAGGAAACAUCUUUCUUUAAUAACUCUGUUGAUAGAGCUUGGGAAAGUGGGCAAGUUUUAGGAUCAGAGCCAGCAAGAUUUAGUGCAAUUUUCUGUAGUAAGGCAAGUCAAUAGAUAUGCAGAAAAGAACUUCUGGGGAGAAGAAAAAUCACACAUGUUGCUUCAUCUUAUAGGUUAAAAAUUUUCCAUUGCCAUCUGUUCUUUAAAGGGAAAAUUGGAUUUUGUGAGAAUAUUUUUUCCAGAAAAAAGUAUCUGCUUUCUGUAGAAAAUCAGGGCUAUUCAUCAGAAAGCCAAACACCUGCAAGCCAAAUAUUUCUGGCUGAAAGUACCAAUGUGGAGUGCUGCUGCUGCACCUCUUGGGAGGAUGGCAGUUUGGUGCUUCAUUUCCAUGCUCUUUGUUACCAGACUCACAAGUGCCACAUCUUUGUUGCUUUAUAGGACUGCGUUCAAGUAGGGACAGGAGUUUAUGUGGCCAAAUGGCUGAAGGAGAAUCUGGAUGUGAGCUGAUUUCUCCCUCUUCUCCACGUGCAAGACUUAGGGCUCAUGCACAGGCAGGCUGGGGCAGCAUGGAUGCUCGGGCGAGCCAGGACUCCAGGAUCAGGUGAAGGAGGAUUCUCAUUCCAAUGCAACACCACAGAAAGCAGAGAUGUCCUGAAGCACCUAACCCUACCAUUUGCAAAACUAGUGCUUUAAGGGCGAGAACCCAGCCGUGUGGAGCCACUGCAGGAAGGACACAGCUUUCACCCAUCUGGCAGAAGAGGUGGCGGACAGUCCCCAGAUCCUUCAGCUGAUGCUGUUUUCUCCUCUCCUUCAACUUCUGUUUUUCCCAGUGUUACACAUUACAUUUCUGAAGCAUAUGAUGAAUGGGAUGCUGUGCAGCUGAAAAAUCACACAUCUCAAAUGGCUCAGUUGGCUCUCCCAUACUAAGCUGACUGCCUGAGUUGCAGCUCUCUGACAAGGGGAAUGGUUGCUUUACUCUCAAAAUACGGGCUGCCCAAGAGGAACUGCCAAUUUAAUGUGACUCUGGUGGGAAUUUGCUCGGUGUUUCAAGGAGGAAUGGCAUCCUGGGCUACGGCUUCUGUGACGGACUACAAGUCUUCAUCUGAUCAGUGCAGAAGUAGAUUACGAACAUUUUAUCCAUGGAUCUUCAUCCUCCAGUCGUCCAAACGAAGGAUUGUCUGAACUGAAGAACAAGGAAGGUGACUGGUUCACUCUUCUGUAUUCCACAGCCCAUUACCUCAAAGCUUUCUUCAAGCUCUAACAUUCGUAGCAAGUAGAAAAUGAGAUCCACAUGAUCAGUGAUAAGAAAUCUAGGGGAGAGCAUUUAAGAGAAUUUAGAGCUUCUACCAAAGGUCAGAAACCAAGGGUCCUAUUUCCGCUAUGAUCAGAACAAGUGGACAGUGCUGAAGGUAACUUGGGAAUGCUAACUGCCAGUUCACAUUUCCCAACAACAGUGCUGGCACCAUUUACAUGAGACUUCCUGAUGAAAAUAAUAUUUUCAAAUAAAAAAGACCUAAAAUCCUAA